rnacentral:rRNA from 1 species
UACGUAGGGAGCAAGCGUUGUCCGGAAUCAUUGGGCGUAAAGCGCGCGUAGGCGGCCCUGUAAGUCCGUUGUGAAAGUCAAAGGCUCAACCUUUGAAAGCCGAUGGAUACUGCAGGGCUAGAGUCCGGAAGAGGCGAGUGGAAUUCCUGGUGUAGCGGUGAAAUGCGCAGAUAUCAGGAAGAACACCAAUGGCGAAAGCAGCUCUCUGGGACGGUACUGACGCUGAGACGCGAAAGCGUGGGGAGCGAACAGG